rnacentral:lncRNA from 1 species
GGCUAAAACGGACAAUACCUCACGUAUUAAGCCAUAAGCCCUUGGUCAUAAUAAAUAGUAUCAAAGUAGAUCUGUAUCUUGAUCCAUAUGAAUUUGAAGAACUAGAGCAUGCAUUUAUUUCGGAUGACCAUGAGUUGUAUUUGUGGUACCGCCACACUUGGGAUUAGUCGUUUUCAGGAAAGGUGAUGCCCACCUAAAAGAGAGGGCGGCUAUGCUUGAGGCU